CCUACGUGGAGCUGUCUUACAACACUGAACCAUCCCACUUGAUCUACUGUCUUCAAACUGGAAGACUGAGACCCAUGGAGAAGAGGACUCAACCAUCUAUAAACAUAACACCUUGGACACACCUCUGGUUGCAUGAGCAGAAGCCUAGAGGACUGGCCAGUUUAAUUUCUUAUCAAGCAUUCAGGCAAGACUCAAAGCAGGUUCUCCAAACCACUUUGGGGUCAGUGGGCUAGUGCAAAGAACAAGAAAUCAGUAAAAUCAGCAAGGUGAGUUGAGACACCUGAGAGACAAUUAAAAUCCCAUCAAACUGACUGAAUUCAUCAACAGCCUUACUGAAGUCCAGGUUAUCUGGUACUUCCCAGGCUCUAUUCCUUGCACCUUUGUAUCUUUAUUAAUGAAUCAAAAACCUAAUUCCUACCUGGACUGCACUUGAGUACUUCCCCUCAGCUGUGACAUCUCCAGCUACAUUCAGUAUGUUCUCUUUUGGUAUCCUGACCUUGUGGAACAUGGCAAAUCUGUUCAAACAAACACACAAGCAAUGUCAAAUCUACCCCCAGCACACAGGCUGAAGUUUCUACAGCACAAAAAAGAGGUCAGAGAAAAGGCACAGCAGUACAUUGAUCACAUCAAUGACCUGAAGGCAGAGCCUAUCAAGCCAGACCUAAAACAUAUCACUGAAUCUAGAAGACCAUUUCAGCUUCCUAAGGGAAGUCAUAGAAUGGAUGCAUUCUGUUUGAGGAGAGAGACAGGCAAAGUUACUUAAUGGAGACCUUAUCCAGAGGCAGUUUGAUGUUUGCAAAAACAGCCCAGCAACCUGAGCUGAACCCUCAAUUAUGCAUGAGUUCAGCUAAGCUACUUAGCCUGAGAUCUCAGCUACUGAAAAGCUUGGGAAGGUGAAGAGGAGGUGUUCAAGUACAGGCCAUGCUCUUUUCAGUGGUGUCCUGUGAUAGGAUAAGGAGAAAUGGAUAGAAACUGGAACACAGGAGACUUCACCCUAAUAUGAGGAGAAACUUCUGUGAGGGUGCUGGAGCCCUGGAGCAGGCUGCCCAGAGUGGUUCUGGAAUUGCUUUCUCUGGAGGCUUUCAAGACUCAUCUGGACACAUUCCUGUGUGACCUGCCCUGAGUGAUCCUGCUCUGGUAGAGAAGUUUGACUCUAUGAUCUCUGCAAGUCCCUUCCAACUCAUAACAUUCUGUGACUCUACAAACAACUUC